rnacentral:tRNA from 1 species
AAAAAGAUAAGCUAAAUUAAGCUAUUGGGCUCAUAACUCAUUUAUGAAAUAAAUUCUCUUUUUA